rnacentral:lncRNA from 1 species
CUCCACCAUUUCCACGUGGCCCAGCACAAUCCCUAGCAAUGUGACCUAUCUUUCCACAUAAGAAGCAUGCACCAGUGAGUCUGUGGCACUGCCUCCCCGGAUGAUUAGCCCCACAAGUAGCACAAGGAGCUAUCGGAAUAAGAUUCGGGUUACCCCCACCAGCUGGUCCUGGGUAACGACCCUGAUUUUGCCCCUGCGGACGAUUAUUCCCCUGCUGACGAUUCUGUCUAUACCAAGGUAGCUGAAGCUGACGAUUCUGUCUAUACCAAGGUAGCUGAAGCUGACGAUUUUGCCCCUGUUGAGGCAUCUGCUGAUAGCCCCUGUUCUGAUUCUGGCUACGCCACUGCCCCUGCUGAACACCACGAUUUCUGUUCCACUGACCACCUUGAUUUCUCC